rnacentral:rRNA from 1 species
UGAAUACGAGACGCUAAGGCGUCGAAGUAGUGUAUGUCAUACUUCCAAGAAAAGCUUGCACUGUCAUAGAUAAAAAACGCCUGUACCAUAACCGACACAGGUGGGUAGGUAGAGUAUACUAAGGGGCGCGAGAUAACUCUCUCUAAGGAACUCGGCAAAAUAACUCCGUAACUUCGGGAGAAGGAGUGCCUUAUUCGUAAGGUUGCAAUAACAAGAUCCAAGCAACUGUUUAUCAAAAACACAGGUCUCCGCUAGGUCGUAAGACGAUGUAUGGGGGCUGACGCCUGCCCAGUGCCAGAAGGUUAAAGAAGUUGGUUAGCAAUUGCGAAGCUGAUAACUGAAGCCCUGGUGAACGGCGGCCGUAACAAUAACGGUCCUAAGGUAGCGAAAUUCCUUGUCGGGUAAGUUCCGACCCGCACGAAAGGCGUAAUGAUUUGGAUACUGUCUCGGAGAGGGGCUCGGUGAAAUAGACUUGUCUGUGAAGAUGCGGACUACCUGCACCAGGACAGAAAGACCCUAUGAAGCUUUACUGUAACUUGAAAUUGAAAUUGGACUUUAUUCGCGCAGUAUAGGUGGGAGGCGUUGAUUAUAAUCUUGUGGGAUUAUUGGAGCCAUCAGUGAGAUACCACUCUUGUAAUGUUAGAUUUCUAACUUUGAAUCAUUAUCUGGUCAAAGAACAGUUUCAGGCGGGCAGUUUGACUGGGGCGGUCGCCUCCUAAACGGUAACGGAGGCGUACAAAGGUUUCCUCUGAACGGUUAGAAAUCGUAUCUAGAGUGUAAAGGCAUAAGGAAGCUUGACUGUGAGACCUACAAGUCGAGCAGGGACGAAAGUCGGUCUUAGUGAUCUGACGGUACUGAGUGGAAAGGCCGUCACUCAACGGAUAAAAGUUACUCUAGGAUAACAGGCUGAUCUCCCCCAAGAGUUCACAUCGACGGGGAGGUUUGGCACCUCGAUGUCGGCUCAUCGCAUCCUGGGGCGGUAGUACGUCCCAAGGGUUGGGCUGUUCGCCCAUGAAAGCGGUACGCGAGCUGGGUUCAGAACGUCGUGAGACAGUUCGGUCCAUAUCCGCUGUAGGCGUUAGAAUAUUGAGAGGAGCCUUCUUUAGUACGAGAGGACCGAGAAGGACAUACCUCUGGUGUACCAGUUAUCGUGCCAACGGUAAACGCUGGGUAGCUAUGUAUGGAGUGGAUAACCGCUGAAAGCAUCUAAGUGGGAAGCCCACCUCAAGAUAAGUAUUCUCA